UACGGAGGGGGCUAGCGUUGUUCGGAAUUACUGGGCGUAAAGCGCACGUAGGCGGCUUUGUAAGUUAGAGGUGAAAGCCCGGGGCUCAACUCCGGAACUGCCUUUAAGACUGCAUCGCUUGAAUCAUGGAGAGGUCAGUGGAAGUUCCGAGUGUAGAGGUGAAAUUCGUAGAUAUUCGGAAGAACACCAGUGGCGAAGGCGACUGACUGGACAUGUAUU
rnacentral:rRNA from 1 species